UCUUCCAUCGUUGAAGAUCCUUGACGUCAGCCAUUCUCAUGGUCUUAGUGAAACCAUUGACUUCUCACGUUCCUCCAAUCUAGAGGAACUAAUUCUUGUAGAUUGCACAAGCCUGGAGAAUGUUCAUGAAUCCAUUGGAAACCUGGAGAGACUCGUGUACUUGAAUAUGAAGGAUUGCAAGAAUCUUAGGAAGCUUCCGAAGAACAUGUGCAAGCUUAAAUCACUUGAAAUACUCAUUUUAUCUGGUUGCUCAAAUCUUGAUGAGGUUCCAGUGGAGAUGAUGAAGAAGAUGGAGUCUCUGAAAGUUCUUGAGACGGAUGGAAUUCCAAUAGGUGAAUUGUGGCCAGAAAGAAGUUCAACUAUCUUGAGUUCUUUUCCGUGCUCUUUGGUAGAGUUAAGUCUGAAGGGGUGCAAUCUUUCUGAUGAUGUCUUUUCUACGGAUUUAAGUGCUCUAUCCUACUUGCGAAGACUACAUUUGGAUGAGAAUCCAAUUUGCAGUCUGCCAGUUUUCAUCAAAGGUUUGAGGAGGAUCGAUGAACUCUCUUUCAAGGGUUGUGAUAGGCUCGAAUCGCUUGUGGGGUUGCCGGAAGUACACCAAAGGCUAAGUAUAAAAGAAUGCAUAUCAUUAAAAAAAAUAACUUUUCAUUCCCCUGGGCAACAUUAUCUAACACGUGUAUUUUGCCAUGACAACCCGAAUCUUGUUGAGUGUGAGUGCUAUUACAAGUUAGAGCCUAUUGAUAGAGUUGAUGUGGAAAUGAUCAAACUUUUGGGCUUGUGCAACUUGGAAUCCAUGCCAGCUGUUCGAAUGCAUCAUCCACUCACAAACUGGGAUCUAAUAGAGGUCCCCGUCCAGGUGCGCCUCUUUUUCUCUCUCUCUCAUAAGUCUUAAAUAUAUAAUGGGAAAGAAAUGACUGAGUAAUGUUGUGAUGACUGUGGCAAAUACAUAGGGACUGUAUCAACAUGGUAUAUUCAGCACCUUUUUUGUUGGGAAUGAGGUUCCAGGCCUGUUCAGCUAUAAAAGUACCAAGUCCUCGAUAUCUUUUAUUGUCCCUUUACUACUUGCUAGUCACAGAAUUCGAGGCUUGAACAUCUUUGCUACCUAUGCAAAGGAAAAUUCAAAUAAUUAUUCUACUAGACCUAAUAUUGGUCCAAUAAUGAUCAAAGUGAGAAACAAGAGUAAGGGUCUGAAGUGGAUCUAUGACCCAUUUUUCUAUGGAAUCCCAAGUGACGGAGAAGAUAUGAUAUGGUUGAGCCAUUGGAAGAUGGAGAAUAAAACAAUAUUACAAUGUGGAGAUGAAGUGGUGGUUUCGGUAAUAACUGGACCACGUGACAUGUUUUGGGUCAAGGAGUUUGGUGUCGAGCUUGUGCAAGAGCACCAAGACAAGAUGAGUACCCAACACAACACCAAAUCUGAUCCUAAUUAUCCAUUUGUUAUUGAUGGAGAUUUGAAGAUGUUUGAGGACAGACCGGGAAAAUACUUCCUUGGCAGUUAUUUUAUAGAAGAAAUUGAUGACAUUGAUAUCCUCACCAUGGACUCUGAUGAAGAAGACACAAGUAUGUUGUGUUGUUGUAUUGCAUUGAAUUAUACUUCAUCCAAACACUUCCAGGUGUGUCCGUAUUCAUUUCAAAAACGUUUCCAAUAAAUUUUAUGUUAUUUGUAUGUUUUUCAGACAAAGAAGGGCAAGAGGAUGAACCUGAUUACACAAUUGCAAAGACGAGGGCUGCUAGCAAUAACUGCAGCCUGAGAGGCUGGAAGGUGCGCCUCACAGCUGUCGGCUUCUUUUUCGCGCUUGCUCUAGUAGGUUGGUCCUCCAUCUCCCAAAAAAAGAAGCGACAAUCGUCCACAAGCCCACCAUGAGUUUGUAAUUUGACUUCAAAUGUGCUUGCUCUAGUAGCUAAGCACUCUUAACCGCUUGAGAUAUAAAAGCCCAUUGCAACUAGAUACUGAACUUCAAAUGUGUUCAACGCCAUCAAAUAUAGCAUAAAAUACAUCCAGCAUUAGGUUCCAAGCCCACUAUUGAAAAUCAUGUUCAUCCACUCUACACAUCCAAGGCAGCAAACUAACUAGGAUACCAGGUUGGGAGGAUACAAUCAUUAACAAUUUCAAAAGCUAUAAAUGCAAUCCGAAUACAUGGCAAGUAGGGGUAAGCAUGUGAACAAAAAAAUCAGUGAACAUAAUCAAAUCCAAUACGUCAAUUUUGGCCUAGAUUGAAAUGAAAAAAACAAGGAAAUGCUUUGUGUAUCGAUUUGUUUAUGAAGGAAAUAAAACAUAUUUCAUGGAAAGAAAACCUGUGGUUACCUUUGUCUUCCUCUGCCAUUUGUCUAUCGAUUUGUUUCUGAAAGUGGCUAUUCUACAAGAUACAACAUGACAGGUCUUAGUUAGACCAAGUAAACGGCAUGGAAAUGCUUUCUGAAGCAAGAAUGUGUACUCAAGAGCUUUGUGCCAGAGAGGUCGUCGUACCCAGUGCACAAGGCUCCCGCUUUACGCAGGGUCUGGGAGAGGUGAAUGUCGGCUAGCCUUACCCCUAUUUAUGGAGAGGACUUAAGAAAAAUGAAAAAAACAAUAUAGAAUAUGGGUAAGAAUAAAUUUCGAUUAGACAAUAAUUCACUGUAUAAAUCGUUUUUUCAACUUUAAAGUGUGGCUUAAAAAGAAGCUUUAAACAAGUAGCAAUAAUUUCAUAUUGAAAAAUAAAACCUAUUUCAUGGAUAUUACAAGAGCCAUUAUUUUGAAAAACACACCUUUUGGUUCUUCACCACUUGACUUUUAAGAAGAUCUUCGUCCUUGUGACGAUUCAAAUUCUUUAAAAUAUCUCUACGACGGAAUAAACAAAACCAAUCUAGGCCAAAAUUGACUUGUUCGAUUUGAUUAUGUUCACUGAUUUUUCUGUUCACAUGUUUACCCCUACUUGCCAUAUAGUUUUGGGGUGUUAGUGCAUAGUGCUCUUCUCUUUACACACCAGUUUCAAUUUUAUUCUUCGUAAAUUAAGAGACCGUUUGAUAAUCAUUUCGUUUUCAAUUUAAAAAAUAUAAAAAACUAAAUGAAGUUUUCAACUAGAAUUUUCGCUUUUGGUUUUCAAUUUUAAUUUUUUUUAAAACAACUGAAAACUAAAAAUAGUUGCAAAAAGAAUUUUUCAUUUUUUUUUAAUUUAUAAAAAAGUAAAAACUGAAAACUCUAAACUAUAGACUAAAAAUUAAAAAGUGAAAUCGAAAUGGGCUCUCAACAAAAUUGAAAAAAGACUGGGCUGAAUUACUGAAUUCAAAGCAGGGCUUAUUAACGUUACGAGGCCCAAUGGAUCUGGAUAAAUAUUUUUCAUUUUUUUUUAACAAACGAUAUUAUUUAUAUAGGCUUAAUUUUACAGUGGGCUAACAAUAAUGUGGUUCAAAUUUGCUUUUCGCAAGAAUAGAACCUAAAACUUCUCACUUAUAAAUGAAGAGGAAUACCACUAAACCGUAGUCCUGAUAGAUUCGUUAUUUUAUUUUAUAUUUUAAGAAAAAAGAAAGAAAGCAAUGAAAAGCUGUACAUAAAAUAAAUACAAAAAGGAAUGAAAUGAAGAAGAGUGGGAGACUAAUGUUUAAUUCAAGAUAAAGAAAGAAAGCUGAUCGCACCACGACGGCGGCGACGUGGCGGUCAUUUAACGGAAAAUAACAGACAAAUCAGCCUCCAGAUCAAAUCUUGAAGCACAACUCUGAAAAAUCGAGACUACCAACAGCUGAGCUCCGACCAACCGUUGAUGGAUGCAAUCAGGAAGCUCAGAGAUCAGGUCGCCAAGCAACAGCAGGUACUCCCUCUCGUUUGAUUCCGAAUUUGUAUUUCUGUAUGGAUUUUGAUAUGAACAUAAUCUGCGUUGAUUGCGAGAUACUGAGAUUGCUUAAUGAAAUAAUAUUUAUAUAAUUGUUCGAGUUGAAUUGGAUCGAUUCGAAUUCAAAUAGAAUGUCACUAUUUCUGAGCUGUUUGGGGAUGUGUUGGAGUGCAAUGUUGAUGAAUUUCUGAAAUUUUGAGCUAGGUGUUGCUAAUUACUUAUCGAUUUUUGAUGUAAUUGGAUGCUUAAUUUUUACAUUUUCGGAAAACUUCAAACGAAAAUGGCAUAUAAUUCAACGUUCUAUGCUUCAUUAAUGCAUAAGAGUUGGUCGAAGCUUGAUCGAGUUUGCUUUUGGUUAUUUUGUGAACACCGUCAGGCUGUGUUCAAACAAUUUUCUGGUGGCAUAUAUGGGGGAUCGGAUAAUGUUGCCUCGGAUGAAAAUGAAUUUCAACAGCAUCAGAAACUCGAGAAGCUGUACAUAUCAACUCGUGCUGCCAAGGUUGCUACGCUUAUUUUUGUCUGUGCUUUAAACGAGCAUCACGUUAGUUGUGUUACCUAUCGUUUUUUUGCUUCAUCUUUAACAGCAUUACCAAAAGGAAAUUGUCCGCGGAGUGGAAGGUUACAUUGUGGCCGGUUCAAAGCACGUUGAAAUAGGUAUGUUGCUUGAAAUGCGUUGUCUUUUCUUUGGAGUUUGGAUAUGAAUUCAUGCUGGUUUUAUCAGUUGGUAUACAUAAUAUUUUUUCAACAGGUACCAAGCUAUCAGAAGAUAGCAGGAAAUAUGGUUCUGAAAAGACUUGCACCAGUGAUAACACAUUGUCGAGAGCUGCACUUAGUUUUGGAUGAGGUGGGGCCCAAAUGGAAAAAGAGUGCGGAGUUCUACUUAAAGCCCUUGGCACACAGGUUUAAGUCAAAUUAUUACUAACAGAGGCUAUUAAGUAAAAAUCAAAUAUUGCCAGGGCCGGCUUCAUACAAAUGGAAUUUCAACUGACUAAUUUUCGUGUGCAUUUGAUCAUUUCGAAAGAAAUUUACAGCAAAAAUUGUUUUCAUUUCCACGUCGUGGUUCAAGAAUUGGACUACUUUUUGUGUUUCUAUGCAUCGUAUGACAAACUGGCUCACCAUUUCUUUCUAUAGGUUUGCAUAAUAACUCUUUGUGUGCUUAUCAAUUUGCCUGUGUAGGUUGCAUAGCCUUUAUAGUGGGAGCGCCCAUGGAGGAUGCUCGACAUCUUGCUCAACGUUAUGCUAGAAUGCGGCAAGAAGCUGAAGCUCAGGUAUAUGCAGUUUCUUCUGUUUCCUACCAAUUUUAUUCUACAGUGAUUUUAUAUCCAAAACAAGCAUUGACUUGGCUGUCCAUCCAUCAAUAGCAGGUCCACAUCUCAACCCAAAUAUAAUGACGUCAAAGGAGAGGGGAAAAUGAGAAGGAAACUCUGGAGGGUAGAGGGAAGGAAAAGGGGAAAAGGAGAAAGGGAGAAGGGAAAAGUAGAACGGGAAGGAGGAAAAUGAGAGGAAAUUUCGGAGAAUAGAGAAAGGGAGAAGGGAAAAGAAGAAAAGCAGAAAAGAAGGGAAAAGGGGAAGGAAGCUUAGGAGGCUAGAGAAAAAGAUGGAAAUGCAUAAAAAUAAAAAAAUAAAAAAGGAAAGUCGCCUUCAUCAUUAUGUCUACUAACGGAAAGGAGCAACCACAUUGUAAAUUAUAUUUUGUAUAAUGAGAAACCAGUAUUCCUACCCUGAGGGUAUAGACACAACUUGCUGAAUCUCGUUACUAUACAGCAAGUUUAUAAUUGCACAAUAAUUCGAUCAAUCAUCUUAAGUUCAACCAUACAUGUAACAAGAUUUAAGUUUUUCCAAACUUUCCUUAUGAAGGUAACUGAACAUUACAAGUGUCACGUUAUUAUGCGAUUCUAUCAAGUUUUAAUUUUUGUCUCAUAACCACAUUACAAGUGCCACGUUAUUUAUUUUAUCCUUUAUUUUAUCUUUAUUAUUAAAACUUAAAAUUUUCAUAUUUUUUUAUUAAUUUUUUUUUAUAAAAUCACACGUAAAACAAGAAGUAAUCUUUUCUUUUUCUUUUCAUCUCUGCCACUAGCGGCCGACCAUGACUUAAAGAAACGCUUUUUGGAUGGGUCAAUGUAUGGGAACGACCCAUUUUAUAUGUUACAUGGUUGUGCAAUUAAAAGUGCAUUUUAUCAUAAAAAUGUGAGCAACGAUCAAUAUAAUUGUUAUUUAUAAAAUCACACAAAACACAAGAAGGAAUCUUUUCUUUUUCUUUUUCAUCUCUGCCACUACCAGCCGACCAUGACUUAAAAGAAACGCUUUUUGGUUCAAUGGAUGGGAACGACCUAUUUUAUAAUAAGAAAAAUUAAUUAAAAAAAUUUAAAAAUUUUAAGUUUUAAUAAUAAAAAGAUGUUGUAAAUAAAUAGUACAUAAUUGAUUUUUUUAGUAAAAGUAUAAUUUUUUAUUAAAAUUUCGUUCAAAUCCCCUUUAUAAUAUUGUUUGUAAAUUUUUCUGGAAGUAGAUGGAAAUGACCCAAUUACAUAUUUCCCCUGCUCACAGACAUUUUCAUUGCACCUAGAAAACCAGUUUUUUGUUAGAAAAUCGAUCCACAUCAAUGGCUCUUGUGAGAACAUCUCCAGGAACCUCCUCUGAUUCCAACACUUUUCGGAGUUAUCGCUACGACGUGUUCUUGAGCUUCAGAGGCGAAGAUACUCGCAAGACUUUUACCGACCACCUCUACACAGCCUUGAACAACGCAGGAUUUCUUACGUUCCGAGACGACGAUGAACUUGAGAGAGGAGAAGAUAUAAAGCCAGGACUGCAGAAAGCGAUCCAGCAGUCACGAACUUCUGUUGUCGUGUUUUCGAAAGAUUACGCUUCAUCCAGUUGGUGUCUUGAUGAGCUUGUGCUGAUCCUUGAACGCAAGAGGACCACCUCGGACCAUGUAGUUUUACCAGUCUUCUACGAUGUCGAUCCGUCCCACGUGAGGAAGCAGACAGGAAGUGUUGGAAAAGCAUUUGCUAGAAGCCAGAAAAAUCAGUCGCCGGAAAAGGUGCAGGGAUGGAGGAAGGCACUUGCAGAGAUUGCAGACCUAGCAGGCAUGGUCUUACAAAAUCAAGCUGAUGGGUAACUUUCAUUAUCUCCAUUUCUCAUCUUUCCUGGGUGAAUUUGAUGUAUGAUCCGUAAUGACCUAGAUUUUUAUAUGUUUAUUAAUUCAAUCUCAGUAGUGAAUAAUAAUCUCAAUUUAGGUCAACUUAAAGAAAUCACACUCAACUCAACUUAAGGAUUAGUCAUUUUCCAUGUUAAUCUACUGGUUUCCAGUUGCUUAAAUUUUUUUGAAAGCUGGUGUGGAAAAAGGUUAGGAUGUGAUCUGUCUAUAGUUCGUGUAAAUUAUGCGCUGUAUUCCUUUUUUUUUUCAAUUUAAUUUUGUCAGCAGUCCUCUUUUUUUUUUCUUAUUUAAAAAGGCAAUCAACAUAUGUUUUAAUUAUCUAAUUUCCCCAAUUCAUUUUUCAUUUUGUUUGCAAAUUCUUAGGUACGAGUCAAAGUUUAUCAAAAAAAUUGUUGAAGUGAUAGGAGACAAGUUAUGUCGUACGUCGUUGAGUGUUGAACCAAAAUUGAUUGGAAUUCAAUCUCAAGCCGAACGCAUCAAUUUGUGGUUACAAGAUGGAUCAAGUCAUGUUGGUAUAUUUGUUGUGUAUGGCAUGUCUGGAAUAGGGAAGACAACCAUUGCAAAACAUGUUUACAAUUCAAACUUUGGAAGCUUUCAAGGAAGUAGUUUCAUUGAAAAUAUCAAAGAAACAGCAGAUCGACCAAAUGGCUUAGUUCAAAUACAAAUGCAACUUCUUUGUGAUAUUUUGAACGGCAGAGAAGUGAAAAUACACAGUGUUAGUGAGGGAAUAAUUAAGAUUGAAAGGGCCAUAAGCACUAGAAGAGUUCUACUUGUUCUUGAUGAUGUUGACCAAAUGGACUAAUUCGAUGCAAUCCUAAGGAUGAAGGAUCAGUUUUAUCCUGGAAGUAAGAUACUAAUAACAACUAGGCGUGAAAGGCUGCUAAAGGCAGAUCAAGUUACAGAGGUGCACAGAGUUCAAACUUUGGAUUACAAUGAAUCAUUAAAGCUUUUCAGUUGGCAUGCUUUUGGCCAGGACCAUCCCAUAGAAGAAUACAUGGAGCACUCAAAACAGCUAGUGCAACAUAGCGACGGACUUCCAUUAGCUCUAAAAGUUUUGGGUUCUUCUUUAUCAGGGGAAAGUAUAGGUGUAUGGGAAAGUGCAUUGGAGAAGCUAAAAGUUAUUCCUGAUGGUGAAAUCAUAAACAAACUAAGAAUAAGCUAUGAAAGUUUAAAAGAUGACCAUGACCGGAAAUUAUUCCUCCACAUUGCUUGUUUCCUAAUAGGAAGGAACAAAACCUACAUUGUUAGAAUAUUCGAUGGAUGUGAUUUCUAUACAAUCAUUGGCAUUCAAAAUCUCAUUGAUAGAUGCUUGGUGACAUUUGAUGAACACGGCAAGGUGAAAAUGCAUGACAUGAUUCGUGCUAUGGGAAGAGAAAUUGUUCGCCAAGAAUCAGAAGAGCUUGAGGAACGUAGUAGAUUAUGGCGCCAUAAGGAUUCUUUCCAAGUAUUGAGGAAAAAGAAUGUAAGAAACAUGCCUUUUAUGUCUAUAUAUGUCUUUCUUCUUGUGAAAAUUAUGCAUAUUAAUGUCUUUUUUUUUUCCUUUAGGGUACAAAAAAAAUCCAAGGUCUUGUCCUGGAUAUGCGUAAUCAUUCUGCAAACAGUCCAAUAAACACAAAUGAGAUAGUCUUGGAAACCAAUGCAUUUGCAAGGAUGUGCAAUUUACAACUACUCCAUCUUAGUCAUGUACGACUGGAUGGAUGUUAUGCAGAUUUCCCUACAGGAUUAAGAUGGUUGUGUUGGCUUGAAUUUCCUUUGGAUUCUAUACCAAUUGAUUUUCCUUUGGAGAACGUAAUUGUUCUGGAAAUGCAAUACAGUAGCUUGAGACAAGUAUGCAAAGGAACAAAAGUAUGUUACUCUAUGCAUUUCAAUUCAUUUUCCUUAUUUUGUUAGUUUUUUAUUUGUUGACUAACUUCGUGUGUUAAAAUGAACUACUAUGUUUUCUUUAAUUCAAUGACUAAUUUCUUAUAUUAGAUACUUAUUUCAUUGUUAUUUUUUCUUCUUUUUUUUCCCUCUGUUUCCACAGUUUCUUCCAUCGUUGAAGAUCCUUGACGUCAGCCAUUCUCAUGGCCUUAGUGAAACCAUUGACUUCUCACUUUUCCCCAAUCUAGAGGAACUGAUUCUUGUAGAUUGCACAAGCCUGAAGAAUGUUCAUGAAUCCAUUGGAAGCUUGGAGAGACUCGUGUACUUGAAUAUAAAGGAUUGCAAGAAUCUUAGGAAGCUUCCGAAGAACAUGUGCAUGCUUAAGGCCCCGUUUGGGAUUGAGGUGAUUUUAAAAAAAGCCACUGUCAAAAAAAGCUGAGGAUCAUUUUUGUGUUUGGUAAACUGAAAAAAAAGGGCUUAUUUUGGAAGCUGCUGUGAGAAUAAGCUGAAAAUCAAAGAAAAAGCUGAAGCUGCUAUUUGCUGCUUUGAAAAAAAGCCAGUUUUUUCAAAGCACACGGAGCUACAGUGCUCCUUUAAUGAAAAGACACACUAUCAUCCUGCUUUUUUUUCCAAAAGCACUUUCACAAAAAAGUUUACCAAACACUCUACUGGCUUUAUUUCACAGCCGCUUAUUCUCACAGCACAGCUGCUUAUUCUUACAGCAGCUUUUUUUCAAAGCACAGCAAUACCAAACCAGCCCUAAAUCACUUGAACACUCAUUUUAUCUGGUUGCUCAAAUCUUGAUGAGUUUCCAAUGGAGAUGAUGAAGAUGGAGUCUCUGAAAGUUCUUGAGACAGAUGGACUUCCAAUAGGUAAAUUGUGGCCAGAAAGAAGUUCAACUAUCUUGAGUUCUUUUCCAUGCUCUUUAGUAGAGUUAAGUCUGAAGGGGUGCAAUCUUUCUGAUGAUGUCCUUCCUACGGAUUUAAGUAAUCUAUCCAAUUUGCAGUCUGCCAGUUUUCAUCAAAGGUUUGAGGAAGAUCGAUGAACUCUCUUUCAAGGGUUGUGAUAGGCUCGAAUCGCUUGUGGGGUUGCCGGAAGUACACCAAUGGCUAAGUAUAGCCGGAUGCAUAUCAUUAAAAAAAAUAACUUUUCAUUCCCCUGAGCAACCGUAUCUAGUACGUGGGGGUGACAACUCGAAUAACUGUAAUUGCUGUUACAAGUUACAGCCUUUUGAUAGAGUUGAUGUGAAAAUGAUCAAACUUAUGGGCUUGUGCAACUUUGAAUCCAUGCCAGCUGUUCAAAUGCGUAAUUCAUACACAUACAGGGAUCCAAAAGAGGUCCCCGUCCAGGUGCGCCUCUCUUUCUCUCUCUCAUAAGUCUUAAAUAUAUAAUGGGAAAGAAAUUACUGAGUAAUGUUGUGAUGACUGUGGCAAAUACAUAGGGACUGUAUCAAUUUGGUGUAUUCAGCACUUUUUUUGUUGGGAAUGAGGUUCCAGGCCGGUUCAGCUAUAAAAGUACGAAGUAUUCGAUAUCUUUUAUUGUCCCUUUACUACUUGCUAGUCACAGAAUUCGAGGCUUGAACAUCUUUGCUACCUAUGCAAAGGAAAAUUCAAAUAAUUAUUCUACUGGACCUAUUAUUGUUCCAAUAAUGAUCAAAGUGAGAAACAAGAGCAAGGGUUUGAAGUGGAUCUAUUGCCCAUUAUCCUAUGGAAUCCCAGGUGACGGAGAAGAUAUGAUAUGGUUGAGCCAUUGGAAGAUGGAGAAUAAUACAAUAUUACAAUGUGGAGAUGAAGUGGUGGUUUCGGUAAUAACCGGACCACGUGACUUGUUUUUGGUAAAGGAGUUUGGUGUCGAGCUUGUGCAAGAGCACCAAGACAAGAUGAGUACCCAACACAACACCAAAUCAGAUCCUAAUUAUCCAUUUGUUAUCGGUGGAGAUUUGAAGACGUGGAAGUGCAAACCAGGAAUAUACUUCCUUAGCUGUAGGAGACGAGAAGAUACUGACGACAUUGAUAUCCUCACCAUGGACUCUGAUGAAGAAGACACAAGUAUGUUGUGUUGUUGUAUAGCAUUGAAUUAUACUCCAUCCAAACACUUCCGGGUGUGUCCGUAUUCAUUUCAAAAACAUUUCCAAUAAAUUUUAUGUUAUUUGUAUGUUUUUCAGACAAAGAAGGGCAAGAGGAUGAACCUGAUUACACAAUUGCAAAGACGAUGGCAGCUAGCAAUAACUGCAGCCUAAGAGGAUGGAAGGUGCGCCUCACAGCUGUCGGCUUCUUUUUCGCGCUUGCUCUAGUUGGUUGGUCCUCCAUCUCGCAAAAAAAGAAGCGACACUCGUCCACAAGCCCACCAUGAGUUUGUAAUUUGACUUGAUAUAGAUAUAUCUUUGCAUUCCUUGCUCUCAAGAUGUUUUCUACCUUCGAAACUUCAAGUUUAGAGCUAAGCACUUUAACCGCUUGAGAUAUAAAAGCCCCUUGCAACUAGAUACCGAAGUUCAAAUGUGUUCAACGCCAUCAAAUAUAGCAUAAAAUACAUCCAGCAUUAGCGAUACUAGCAUAGUAGCAGUAAAUAAGUAAAACCAAAAAAUGCUUCCACACAUGGUAAGGGAAGGACUUUACAUAGGAAUCUUUAGCAAUAACGGGCAAGAUUUUUUUGUUUUUGGGAGGAGGUGGAUUAUUUCGGCACCGGGGAAAACAAAAACAUCCCAUCUUAGUUGUCGUUUACAACAAAAUCAUUCUUAAAGACUCGGCUCCCCAUUGAAAUUGUGUAAAUUGCAUAAAUAUCAAUACAACAGAUAUUAAAUAGAAUAAUAUAUAUCAAAUAAAUUAACGACAAGCAAUUUCUUAGCCUGAGAUCCAAGGACUUUACAGCUGGUUCAGCCUUGCAUUCGCUACUACAUUACAGAAGCUGGUUUCUGCUUCUUCAACCUGAACAAAUUAUUGAGGUCAGGAAGUAUAAGAGGAACGACCAUAGUCUCUGGAGCCAUGAAAUUUACUAUCUUCUUUUGGGCAUUGUACCUGCAAAAGCAUAAUGCAAUAAGCAUUCAACAAUCUGACCUAGUUUUCUCAACAGAUACUCCAAGAUAUUCCAAAACAAAGUCACAGCAAUUUCACAUAGGGAACCGAAGAAUCAUGUUCGUCCACUCUACACAUCCAAAGCAGCAAACUAACAAUUUCACAUAGGAUACCAGGUUGGGAGGAUACAAUCAUUAACAAUUUCAAAAGCUUUAAAUGCAAUCUGAAUACAUGGCAAGUAGGGGUAAACAUGUGAACAGAAAAAAUCAGUGAACAUAAUCAAAUCCAAUACGUCAAUUUUGGCCUAGAUUGAAAUGAAAAAAAAACAAGGAAAUGCUUUGUUGUUUUUGAAGGAAAUAAAACCUAUUUCAUGGAAAUAAAACCUGUGGUUACCUUUGUCUUCCUUUGCCAUUUGUCUAUCGAUUUGUUUCUGAAAGUGGCUAUUCUACAAGAUACAGCAUGACAGGUCCUAGUUAGACCAAGCAACCGGCAUGGAAAUGCUUUCUGAAGCAAGAAUCUGAACUCAAGAGCUUUGUGCCAGAGAGACUUCAGAAAAAUGAAAAAAAACAACAUAGAAUAUGGGUAAGAAUAAACAUCGAUCAAACAAUAAUUCACUGUAUAAAACAUUUUUUCAACUUUAAAGUGUGGCUUAAAAAGAAGCUUUAAACAAGUAGCAAUAAUUUCAUAUUGAAAAAUAAAACCUGGAUAUUACAAGAGCCAUUAUUUUGAAAGACACACCUUUUGGUUCUUCACUACUUGACUUUUAAGAAGAUCUUCGUCCUUGUCACGAUUCAGAUUCUUUAAAAUAUCUCUGCGAUGGAAUAAACAAAACCAAUCUAGGCCAAAAUUGACUUAUUCGAUUUGAUUAUGUUCACUGAUUUUUCUAUUCACAUGUUUACCCCUUACUUGCCAUAUGGUUUUGGGGUGUUAGUGCAUAGUGCUCUUCUCUUUACACACCUGUUUCAUUUGUAUUCGUUGUAAAUUAAGAGACCGUUUGAUAAUCAUUUCGUUUUCAAUUUAAAAAAUAUAAAAAACUAAAUAAAGUUUUCUAAAUUUGACCUAGAAUUUUUCGCUUUUGGUUUUUAAUUUUUUUUUUUAACAACUGAAAACUAAAAAUAGUUACAAAUUUUUUUUUCAGUUUUUAAUUUACAAAAAAGUAAAAACUGAAAACUCUAAACUAUAGACUAAAAAUUAAAAAGUGAAAUCGAAAUGGGCUCUCAACAAAAUUGAAAAAAGACUGGGCUGAAUUACUGAAUUCAAAGCAGGGCUUAUUAACGCUACGAGGCCCAAUGGAUCUGUAUAAAUAUUUUUUGUUUUUUUUUAACAAACGAUAUUAUCUAUAUGGGCUUAACCUUACAAUAGGCUAACAAUAAUGUGGUUCAAAUUUAUUUUUGACGAGAAUCGAACCUAAAACUUCUCGCUUACAAAUGAAGAGGAAUACCACUAAAUCAUAGUCCUGAUAUUUUAUUUAAUAUUUUAAGAAAAAAGAAAGAAAGCAAUGAAAAGCUGUACAUAAACUAAAUACAAAAAGGAAUGAAAUGAAGAAGAGUGGGAGACUAACGUUUAAUUCAAGAUAAAGAAAGAAAGGUAAUCGCACCCCGACGGCGGCGACGUGGCGGUCAUUUAACGGAAAAUAACAGACAAAUCAGCCUCCAGAUCAAGUCUUGAAGCACAACUCUGAAAAAUCGACACUACCUACAGCUGAGCUCCGACCAACCGUUGAUGGAUGCAAUCCGGAAGCUCAGAGAUCAAGUCGCCAAGCAACAGCAGGUACUCUCUCUCUUGUUUGAUUCCGAAUUUGUAUUUCUGUAUGGAUUAUGAUAUGAACAUAAUCUGCGUUGAUUGCGAGAUACUAAGAUUGCUUAAUGAAAUAAUAUUUAUAUAAUUGUUCAAAUUGAAUUGGAUCGAAUUCGAAUAGAUUUUUCACUAUUUCUGAGCUGUUUGGGGCUGUGUUGGAGUGUAUUGUUGCUGAAUUUCUGAAAUUUUGAAUCUAGCAAACACCAGUUCUUUUUGUUUGAACAUCGAUCCACAUCAAUGGCUCUUGUGAGAACAUCUCCAGGAACCUCCUCUGAUUCCAACACUUUUCGGAGUUAUCGCUACGACGUGUUCUUGAGCUUCAGAGGCGAAGAUACUCGCAAGACUUUUACCGACCACCUCUACACAGCCUUGAACAACGCAGGAUUUCUUACGUUCCGAGACGACGAUGAACUUGAGAGAGGGGAAGAUAUAAAGCCAGGACUGCAGAAAGCGAUCCAGCAGUCACGAACUUCUGUUGUCGUGUUUUCGAAAGAUUACGCUUCAUCCAAGUGGUGUCUUGAUGAGCUUGUGCUGAUCCUUGAACGCAAGAGGACCACCUCGGACCAUGUAGUUUUACCAGUCUUCUACGAUGUCGAUCCGUCCCACGUGAGGAAGCAGACAGGAAGUGUUGGAAAAGCAUUUGCUAGAAGCCAGAAAAAUCAGUCGCCGGAAAAGGUGGAGGGAUGGAGGAAGGCACUUGCAGAGAUUGCAGACCUAGCAGGCAUGGUCUUACAAAAUCAAGCUGAUGGGUAACCUUCAUUAUCUCCAUUUCUCUUCUCUUUGUUGGGUCAAUUUGAUGUAUGAUCCGUAGUGACAUAGAUUUUUAUAUAUUUAUUAAUUCAAUCUCAGUAGUGAAUAAUAAUCCCAAUUCAGGUCAACUUAAAGAAAGCACACUCAACUCAACUUAAGGAUUAGUCAUUUUCCAUGUUAAUCUACUGGUUUCCAGUUGCUUAAAUUUUUUUUGAAAGCUGGUGUGGAAAAAAGUUAGGAUGUGAUCUGUUUUGUAUUUGUCUAUAGUUUGUAUAGAUUAUGCGCUGUAUUCCUUUUUUUUUCAAUUUAAUUUUGUCAGGCAAUCAACAUAUGUUUUAAUUAUCUAAUUUCCCCAAUUCAUUUUUCAUUUUGUUUGCAAAUUCUUAGGUACGAGGCAAAGUUUAUCGAAAAAAUUGUUAAAGUGAUAGAAGACAAGUUAAGUCGUAUGCCAUUGAGUGUUGAACCAAAAUUGAUUGGUAUUCAAUAUCAAGCCGAACGCAUCAAUUUGUGGUUACAAGAUGGAUCAAGUGGUGUUGGUAUAUUUGUUGUGUAUGGCAUGUCUGGAAUCGGGAAGACAACCAUUGCAAAACAUGUUUACAAUUCAAACUUUAGAAGCUUUCAAGGAAGUAGUUUCAUUGAAAAUAUCAAAGAAACAGCAGAUCGACCAAAUGGCUUAGUUCAAAUACAAAUGCAACUUCUUUGUGAUAUUUUGAACGGCAGAGAAGUGAAAAUACACAGUGUUAGUGAGGGAAUAAUUAAGAUUGAAAGGGCCAUAAGCUCUAGAAGAGUUCUACUUGUUCUUGAUGAUGUUGACCAUAUGGACCAAUUAGAUGCAAUCCUAAGGAUGAAAGAUCAGUUUUAUCCGGGAAGUAAGAUACUAAUAACAACUAGGCGUGAAAGGUUGCUAAAGGCAGAUCAAGUUACAGAGGUGCACAGAGUUCGGACUUUGUAUUACAAUGAAUCAUUAAAGCUUUUCAGUUGGCAUGCUUUUGGCCAGGACCAUCCCAUAGAAGAAUACAUGGAGCACUCAAAACAGCUUGUGCAACAUAGCGACGGACUUCCAUUAGCUCUAAAAGUUUUGGGUUCUUCUUUAUCAGGGGAAAGUAUAGGUGUAUGGGAAAGUGCAUUGGAGAAGCUAAAAGUUAUUCCUGAUGGUGAAAUCAUGAAUAAACUAAGAAUAAGCUAUGAAAGUUUAAAAGAUGACCAUGAUCGGAAAUUAUUCCUCCACAUUGCUUGUUUCCUAAUAGGAAGGAACAAAAGCUACAUUGUUAGAAUACUCGAUGGAUGUGAUUUCUAUACAAUCAUUGGCAUUCAAACUCUCAUUGAUAGAUGCUUGGUGACACUUGAUGAACACGGCAAGGUGAAAAUGCAUGACAUGAUUCGUGCUAUGGGAAGAGAAAUUGUUCGCCAAGAAUCAGAAGAGCUUGAGGAACGGAGUAGAUUAUGGCGCCAUAAGGAUUCUUUCCAAGUAUUGAGGAAAAAGAAUGUAAGAAACAUGCCUUUUAUGUCUAUAUAUGUAUUCCUUCUUGUGAAAAUUAUGCAUAUUAAUGUCUUUUUUUUUCCUUUAGGGUACAAAAAAAAUCCAAGGUCUUGUCCUGGAUAUGCGUAAUCAUCCUGCAAACAGUCCAAUAAACACAAAUGAGAUAGUCUUGGAAACCAAUGCAUUUGCAAGGAUGUGUAAUUUACAACUACUCCAUCUUAGUCAUGUACGACUGGAUGGAUGUUAUGCAGAUUUCCCUACAGGAUUAAGAUGGGUGUGUUGGCUUGAAUAUCCUUUGGAUUCUAUACCAAUUGAUUUUCCUUUGGAGAACGUAAUUGUUCUUGAAAUGCAAUACAGUAGCUUGAGACAAGUAUGCAAAGGAACAAAAGUAUGUUACUCUAUGCAUUUCAAUUCAUUUUCCUUAUUGUGUUAGUUUCUUAUUUGUUGACUAACUCCAUGUGUUAAAAUGAACUACUAUGUUUUCUUUAAUUCGAUGACUAAUUUCUUAUGUUAGAUACUUAUUUCAUUGUUCUUUUUUCUUUUCUUUUUUUCCCUCUGUUUCCACAGUUUCUUCCAUCGUUGAAGAUCCUUGACGUCAGCCAUUCUCAUGGCCUUAGUGAAACCAUUGACUUCUCACUUUUCCCCAAUCUAGAGGAACUGAUUCUUGUAGAUUGCACAAGCCUGAAGAAUGUUCAUGAAUCCAUUGGAAACCUAGAGCGACUCGUGUACUUGAAUAUGAAGGAUUGCAAGAAUCUUAGGAAGCUUCCGAAGAACAUGUGCAUGCUUAAAUCACUUGAAACGCU
rnacentral:lncRNA from 1 species